GCCCUACUGGCUCAGACGGUAAAGAACCUGCCUGUAAGGCAGGAGACCUGGGUUCGAUCCCUGGGUAGGGAA
rfam:TPA: Bos taurus chromosome 8, whole genome shotgun sequence.